GACGAACCAUGCAAACGUUAUUCGGAAUUACUGGGCGUAAAGCGUGCGCAGGCGGUUCGCCAAGUCAGGUGGGAAAUCCCCGGGCUUAACCUGGGAAUUGCGCUUGAAACUAGCGGGCUUGAGUGUGGCAGAGGGGGGUGGAAUUCCACGUGUAGCAGUGAAAUGCGUAGAGAUGUGGAGGAACACCGAUGGCGAAGGCAGCCCCCUGGGUCAACACUGACGCUCAUGCACGAAAGCGUGGGGAGCAAACAGG
rnacentral:rRNA from 1 species